UUGAAACUCUUUGUUCAACUAAAAGUGUAAAGGAUUGUUGUGUGAGUCUAAGUAUCAAAAACAUAAAAUAAAUUAUUGAGUAACCAUUAAUACUUGAAAAUAUCAAGUUAGUGGGUGAACUUGUAAAACUCAAAGAUUACAAUUUUAAAGAUUAUAGUGGAAUAUUCAAGUGUGAUCUUGAAGAGUGGAUAUAGGGAGGAUUGUUCUCGAAACCACUGUAAAUUUU
rnacentral:lncRNA from 1 species